rnacentral:rRNA from 1 species
AGUGAACGCUGGCGGUAGGCCUAACACAUGCAAGUCGAACGGCAGCACAGUAAGAGCUUGCUCUUACGGGUGGCGAGUGGCGGACGGGUGAGGAAUACAUCGGAAUCUACUUUUUCGUGGGGGAUAACGUAGGGAAACUUACGCUAAUACCGCAUACGACCUACGGGUGAAAGCAGGGGAUCUUCGGACCUUGCGCGAUUGAAUGAGCCGAUGUCGGAUUAGCUAGUUGGCGGGGUAAAGGCCCACCAAGGCGACGAUCCGUAGCUGGUCUGAGAGGAUGAUCAGCGACACUGGAACUGAGACACGGUCCAGACUCCUGCGGGAGGCAGCAGUGGGGAAUAUUGGAGAAUGGGCGCAAGCCUGAUCCAGCCAUACCGCGUGGGUGAAGAAGGCCUUCGGGUUGUAAAGCCCUUUUGUUGGGAAAGAAAAGCAGCAGGUUAAUACCCCGCUGUUCUGACGGUACCCAAAGAAUAAGCACCGGCUAACUUCGUG